rnacentral:rRNA from 1 species
CACGUAGGGGGCGAGCGUUGUCCGGAUUUAUUGGGCGUAAAGAGCUCGUAGGCGGUUUCGUAAGUCGGAUGUGAAAACCUCCAGCUCAACUUGGAGACGCCAUUCGAUACUGCGAUGGACUUGAGUCCGGUAGGGGAGUGUGGAAUUCCUGGUGUAGCGGUGAAAUGCGCAGAUAUCAGGAGGAACACCGGCGGCGAAGGCGGCUCACUGGCCCGGUACUGACGCUGAGGCGCGAAAGCGUGGGAGCAAACAGG